rnacentral:tRNA from 1 species
UGGCUCAGUUGAUAGAGCAUGGCGCUAACAACGCCAGGGUUGUGGGUUCGAUUCACAC